UCAGUGCCGAGACAAGACAGGCCUGUGCGUGAGGGGACCAGAGUGGCCUCCAUUGAGACUGGGCUGGCAGCUGCUGCAGCCAAGCUGUCCCAGCAGGAGGAGCAGAAAAACAGGAAGAAGAAGAACACCAAAAGGAAGCCGACUCCUAACACUGCCUCCCCCUCCGUCUCCACGUCUGCCUCCGCCUCCACGGGUACCACCUCGGCCUCCACCACCCCAGCCUCCACCACCCCGGCCUCCACCACCCCAGCAUCCACCACCCCGGCCUCUACCAGCACAGCCAGCAGCCAGGCCUCACAGGAGGGCAGCUCACCCGAGCCCCCACCUGAGUCACACAGCAGUGGCCUAGCUGACCACGAGUAUACAGCAGCCGGCACAUUCGCAGGGGCCCAGGCUGGCCGUGCCUCCCAGCCCAUGGCCCCUGGAGUCUUUCUCACACAGAGGCGGCCUUCUGCAUCAUCCCCCAACAACACUGCUGCCAAAGGAAAACGUACAAAAAAGGGCAUGGCCACCGCCAAGCAAAGGCUUGGAAAGAUCUUGAAGAUCCAUCGGAAUGGGAAACUGCUCCUCUAAGGCUUGGAAAGCCAGGAUCCUUCUGCUCUGCUCAGGACCCCCGGAGCCCCGCUACAUCAGCCCCUCCCAGGACGGUGGCUGUGCCGCCUGGCCCGGGGAGGGCCUUGCCUCCUCCCAGCCACCUCUCCCCAAUGCGAGCAUCUGUCCCUUGAGCAGGUGGAAUGAGCGGAGCAUGGCCGUCCCUUGUUGUGAACACGGACAUCCUUUCUCAGUUGCUCAGAGUGACCUGAAAGUGGCCCUGCCGACCUAAGGAUCAUUCUGGUUUCAGGACAGCCUCCAGGCUCCCCACCGGAGCCUGGCGACCUCUAUGGCUCUGCUUGGGAGCAUGAGGCCUUCAAGGAAGGUGCGGUGAGCCACGCUCACCAGCCUGAGUCCGAGCUGGCCCCAGGCUGGCAGCCUCCCAAGGCAUAAAACAAGGCAAAGGACAGAGAAAGAGAGGAGCUGUGGGGCAACGAGCGUCCCCUCCCUCCUCUACCUGAGCGAGUCUUACAGCACUUGAUCAGUGAGGAGAGGUUGCCCCAGCUCCCUGGCUGGCAGGUAGCAGGCUAGGUAGUGGGUGUCACACCCCAAAAGGCCUAGGGACAUUUGGGCUUGUCAGGACCUGCAGUUAGGUUGGUGUGUGAGUGGGUGGAGGAGCCACUGUGGGUUCACAGGGGAAGGGUGACAGCUCAGCCACGUCUUAGGGUCCGGGGGACCCAGGCUAAGCCACGUGGAGGGGCCCCACUCUGGAACAGCACUUCUAGGCCAAGGCACCCUGCCCUGAGUGGGCAGACAGCAGGGCCACAGGGCUGGAGCCAGCAUGGCAGCGUUGUCUGAGCCCCUGGGUGGCAUCAUGAGUGUGGCCAUCUCAGGUGGCGGUGUCCACCCAUCAACAUGGAGGGGCUGGGUUUGUUUCUCAGGCAAUCCUGUAUUUUCAUUUUAGAUGUAUUUCCGGAAGCAUAUUUUUAAUAGAAUGUAGCGUGUAAAUAGCUUUUUAAAUGACUUCUUUUUUACAAGAGCAAAAGUAUCUCUAGGGAUUUCUUUCUAUAGAGCCCUUCAUUAACCUUUAUACGAGUUUUUGCUCCCCCACCCCUUCUCUGACGGAUGGUCAGGUUCCGGCUCCCCCACCCCCUUUGCUUUCCUUUCCUUUCCUUUUGUUACUCCUUCUUAUUUUCCUCUUAGGAACUAAGGUAUUGCCUGAAAAACAACGGCGCCUGCGCGGCCUUACCCUCUGUCUCUCAGAGCGGAUAGUACGGAUUCCCUCCCCACUCGCCCUGAAGCCGCGUCUCCAGUCUCACACCAGCUCUUCGAUCUCCUUCUUGUGUGACGAGGGCCGGGGACGCAGUUACUUUGCUAGCACCUUGUGAAGUAUUUGUGUUUCGUGAUGCUGUAAUUUAUUAAUGUUUGUAGCUUUUUAUAUUUGUACAUUUCUUAUGAGGUUUGUUUCUACACCCGUUACCUGGAUGUGUUGUCCACGAGGAGAUGCAGCUUGGUGGAGGCCUUAUCCACUCCCACUUUGACCUGUUUGGAGGGACGUCAUCCCCAGGGCCCGGGGCUGGGAGAGGGGCAUCUUGCAGGCCCCAGGCUUACUCAGAACUGGUGUUUUUAAAGUUUCCUUGACCUGUCCUUGUGAACAUUUCUAUAAUCUUAACCCGGGCAUCAAGCUGUUCUCUCUCUCUCUCUUUUUCUCUUUUUAAUUUUAUUAUUAUUUUGGCAACAUGUACAUUUCUAACAAAGUUUAUCGUGGCUAUUAAAGUGUUCUAUUUCCCAGUUCAUAUUACUCUUGUAUCGAGUCCAUGAGGUCUAAGGCGACUUAGACCAAAGUUUUAAAAAAAAAGUAAAAAUAUUUCAGGUUUUGUACAGAG
rnacentral:lncRNA from 1 species